rnacentral:rRNA from 1 species
UAGUAACGGCGAGUGAAGCGGGAAGAGCUCAUGUUGUAAAUCUGGAUGAGGGUUCCUCGUCCCGAAUUGUAGUCUAGAGAUGCGUGCUCAGCUACUCUCCAGGGCUAAGUCUGUUUGUGAAAGACAGUGUCAUGGACGGUGAUAACCCGGUUCUUGCCUUGGAUGUUGUAGCGUUUUGAGCCGUCCUCAACGAGUCGAGUUGCUUGGGAUUGCAGCUCUAAGUGGGUGGUAAAUUCCAUCUAAAGCUAAAUAUUGGUGGGAGACCGAUAGCGAACAAGUACCGUGAGGGAAAGAUGAAAAGAACUUUGAAAAGAGAGUUAAAUAGUACCUGAAACUGCUGAAAGGGAAGCGAAUGAAGUCAGUGUUGCUCUUUGUGCUCUGCAUCCUCCCUGCGGGGAUUGUGUAUCGAGGACUUUGAGCUUGUCAGGAUGAGUUCUCUGCCGCGGGAUAUGUUUUGUAUGCUGGAUGCUUUUUGCGGAACAUACAUUCUCUGUCGUGGCUUGGACUGAGGUUCCAUCUUGCCGUUGCCUGUGCGUUCCUCUCCCGUUGCUGUCUCUGUUCUACUGCUUGCAGUGCUCAGUUGCAGUAGUUGGACUGUGCGUA